UACAGAGGUCCCAAGCGUUGUUCGGAUUCACUGGGUUUAAAGGGUGCGUAGGCGGGCAGGUAAGUCAGAGGUGAAAUCUCCGGGCUUAACCCGGAAACUGCCUUUGAUACUAUCUGUCUUGAAUAUGGUGGAGGUAAGCAGAAUAUGUCAUGUAGCGGUGAAAUGCUUAGAUAUGACAUAGAACACCGAUAGCGGAGGCAGCUUGCUACACAGUCAUUGACACUGAGGCACGAAAGCGUGGGGAUCAAACAGG
rnacentral:rRNA from 1 species